rnacentral:rRNA from 1 species
AGGGUUUGAUUAUGGCUCAGGAUGAACGCUAGCGGCAGGCCUAACACAUGCAAGUCGAGGGGCAGCAUAGUUGUAGCAAUACAAUUGAUGGCGACCGGCGCACGGGUGCGUAACGCGUAUGCAACCUACCCAGAACAGGGGGAUAACACUGAGAAAUUGGUACUAAUAUCCCAUAACAUCAUAAGGGGCAUCCCUUUUGGUUGAAAACUCCGGUGGUUCUGGAUGGGCAUGCGUUGUAUUAGCUGGUUGGUGAGGUAACGGCUCACCAAGGCAACGAUACAUAGGGGGACUGAGAGGUUAACCCCCCACAUUGGUACUGAGACACGGACCAA